UGCCGAUGCGAUAAUAUCCUCAUGGGUCAUACGCCCGUCUAGCCAAGCUAGCCGAGCCGCUGCUGAAAGUAUUAUCGGACUCACUCUCAUGAUUUAAUAAGGAUGGAUUAAAAGGCUGAGAGUAAUGACAUUGACUAUCAAAUUCUACCUCGCGUCAAGAGUAUCAAGGGAAUACUGAAGAGCAUGUCUCUCACUUGCUCUCGAGGAACUACGCUUGGUACGAAGCUUAUCCGUUACGGCCUGGAGGAGUAAAGAUUGAACGUUGGUGAUGGUGAGCCCGAGAAUAGGUGUACAGGAGUAUGCAUGAAGUAGAGGUGGAGGAAGAGAUGGAGUAGGAUAGGUGGUGGAUAUUUUCUGGUGCUCGUGCUGCUGCUGCUGCUGCUGAUGGUGAAGUUCAAGAGGUGCAGAGAGAAUAAGAGAGAAAGGAAUAUCAUCAACCGGGUCCUAUUCGCCCGGACCAGCUAGUAAUCUACAUAUGCAUCUCCCACCUAACGUACAAUAACCCCUAAAAAUAAAAACGAACAUCAUCGUCUAAAUAAAUACUAACAGGUACGCGUGGGCUGAACGCUUUCUCCUGGGACCACAUCCAGGUACAAUCUUAUAACUCAACUCGAGUUAAUGUAAUGUUACUUGUAGGCUGUAGGUAUUGCAAGUCCUGGUAGCACACGCGAGUUUGGCAAAGAUCCUUCCUCGCUGUCUGACUCGAUACCAGCUUAGAAUGCCAAGUUAAAUGCAAUAUAUAUAUAUAUAUAUAUAUAUAUAUAUA